AGCCGCCGCGGUAAUUCCAGCUCCAAUAGCGUAUAUUAAAGUUGUUGCAGUUAAAAAGCUCGUAGUUGAAUUUCGGGAUCAGUACGCUGGUCGUGCCUUCGGUAUGAACUGGUGUCACUGGUUCCUCCCUUCUGAAGAACCGUCAUGCCAUUCAGUUGGUGUGGCGGGAAAUCAGGACUGUUACUUUGAAAAAAUUAGAGUGUUUAAAGCAGGCUCGCGCUUGAAUACAUUAGCAUGGAAUAAUGAAAUAGGACGUUUGACCCUAUUUUGUUGGUUUCUAGGAUCGACGUAAUGAUUAAUAGGGAUAGUUGGGGGCAUUAGUAUUCAAUUGUCAGAGGUGAAAUUCUUGGAUUUAUUGAAGACUAACUACUGCGAAAGCAUUUGCCAAGGAUGUUUUCAUUAAUCAAGAACGAAAGUUAGGGGAUCGAAGACGAUCAGAUACCGUCGUAGUCUUAACCAUAAACUAUGCCGACUAGGGAUCGGAUGAUGUUAAUUUUUUAAUGACUCA
rnacentral:rRNA from 1 species